UACAGAGGGUGCGAGCGUUAAUCGGAAUUACUGGGCGUAAAGCGUGCGUAGACGGUUAUUUAAGUCGGGUGUGAAAGCCCCGGGCUCAACCUGGGAAUUGCAUUCGAGACUGAAUAGCUAGGGUACGGUAGAGGGAAGUGGAAUUUCCGGUGUAGCGGUGAAAUGCGUAGAUAUCGGGAGGAACACCAGUGGCGAAGGCGGCUUCCUGGACCAAUACUGACGCUCAUGUGCGAAAGCGUGGGGAGCAAACAGG
rnacentral:rRNA from 1 species